GUCGCCGCCGUCCUCCGCCGCCACCAUCCUCCGUCGCACCUGCCGCCAACGUCCUCCGCAGCACCCACCGCCUCCCAAAGAAACACCGCCGUGGCGUCGUCGACGGCUCGCUGCUACCUGCCGCGGCGCUGUUCUCCUGACCACCUCCGCUACCACGCGCAACCAGGGGUCCUGCUAAAGACGCUCAAUGAGAGCGUAUUUGUAACUGAAAUUCAGAAUAGGAAAAAAAUAGAAUCGAGACUAUAA
rnacentral:lncRNA from 1 species